GUUGGAGUGGAGUAGUAGUUAACUCGCCGCCCUCCCAAUGUAGAAGAGACCCUUCUUGGACCGGCGGAAACUCGGGUGCAAAUCCCGACUUUAGCA